rnacentral:rRNA from 1 species
AGCGAACGCUGGCGGCAGGCCUAACACAUGCCAGUCGAACGAACUCUUCGGAGUUAGUGGCGGACGGGUGAGUAACACGUGGGAACGUGCCUUUUGGUUCGGAAUAACUCAGGGAAACUUGUGCUAAUACCGAAUGUGCCCUUCGGGGGAAAGAUUUAUCGCCAUUAGAGCGGCCCGCGUCUGAUUAGCUACUUGGUGAGGUAACGGCUCACCAAGGCGACGAUCAGUAGCUGGUCUGAGAGGAUGACCAGCCACACUGGGACUGAGACACGGCCCAGACUCCUACGGGAGGCAGCAGUGGGGAAUCUUGCGCAAUGGGCGAAAGCCUGACGCAGCCAUGCCGCGUGAAUGAUGAAGGUCUUAGGAUUGUAAAAUUCUUUCACCGGGGACGAUAAUGACGGUACCCGGAGAAGAAGCCCCGGCUAACUUCGUG